rnacentral:tRNA from 1 species
GUUUUAGUAAUUUAAUAAAAAUAUUGGUCUUGUAAAUCAAACUUAAGUAAGUACUUCUAAAACU